UUGACCUCGAAUCAGGUAGGACUACCCGCUGAACUUAAGCAUAUCAAUAAGCGGAGGAAAAGAAACUAACAAGGAUUCCCCUAGUAACUGCGAGUGAAGCGGGAUGAGCUCAAAUUUUGAAUCUGGCGGUCUUCAGGCCGUCCGAGUUGUAAUCUAGAGAAGCGUCUUCCGCGCUGGACCGUGUACAAGUCUCCUGGAAGGGAGCGUCGUAGAGGGUGAGAAUCCCGUCUUUGACACGGACCCCCAGUGCUAUGUGAUGCGCUCUCGACGAGUCGAGUUGUUUGGGAAUGCAGCUCAAAUCGGGUGGUAAA
rnacentral:rRNA from 1 species